ACUCUCUGCUCUCUCUGUUGUAAAGGAGAAAAAACAGAAAAUAUAAAGAAAAAGAGAAGCUUUUUCUCUUCGUCUUCCCCCCUUCGCCGCUACCCUUCGUUCCAUCUCCUUUCGCCGCCACGUCUCCACCCGACGACCACCACAACACACUCCUCCUCUCUUCAUUUUUUCCGCCUCUUAACGUAAACACACCCACGCCAUCGUAAAACUAUCCAUCCUCAUCGUGACCGUCUCAAUCACAGCUGUUCACCUCCAUCCACCGCGCGAUUCACCCUCACAACGACCAUCACGCUAACUCUGUCAUCUUUACAACUCCGUCGCGAAUCCAAUGCCACCACUUCCGGAAAACGAAACACAAACCCCUUCCGCCAUCGAUACGACCGCUACUUCCUCCAAGCACAUUCACCGGCGACCACCACCGGCACUCCCCUACGCCGUGCGAAACCCACUCCGACCACCACACGGCGGAACCUCCAUCAAAUCUCAACCACUUCUCUUUCCGUCUUCGAUCUAACGCCUUGAAAUACUCACUUCUGGUUGGAACUGACUUCUGACGCAGAUCCAACAAAUCUUCAAUCACCGUCGUCACAACUCCGAAAUUAAUUUGCUCGCCAAAUUCAUACAUUCCGUUAUAUGAACUCUUACUAAGACUGUUGUCCGUCUCUUUGAACAUACAACAACCAUCCUUCAUGUGACCGCAGGCGGGGAAGCGAUUCGAGUUCACUGUCAUGGUUAAACAACACAGAGGUCAUUUGAAUUGACCCAAUCAAGUUUUAGCAGAAGUGGGUUCGGACUUGAUAAUGAAGGGAAUUUCAGACUUCGGAAAUAACUCGCAUCAUCCGUCGACGAGUUCAUCCAGCUUAGCUUGCGGUAAAUCUUCUUUUUGUCAUUUGAAUCCCAUUUGUUGGUUGCUGCCCGGGUUUUAUUCUGAACUCAAUUUGUCAUAUUUGUGUCAUUUUUGCAUCUUGGUUAUCAAUCUACUAUGUGCAAAAUUUUGGCUAUGUCAUGAUCACAAGUUUUAGUCGGCAGUAUUUAUUUUUCAGAUUGUCCAUUGGAAAUUUUUCUUAAGUAUAGAAAGAUUAUUUAUGUUGUU